rnacentral:rRNA from 1 species
UACCAGCACCCCGAGUGGUCGGGACGAUUAUUGGGCCUAAGGCAUCCGUAGCCGGUUCUACAAGUCUUCCGUUAAAUCCACCUGCUUAACAGAUGGGCUGCGGAGGAUACUAUGGAGCUAGGAGGCGGGAGAGGCAAGCGGUACUUAGUGGGUAGGGGUAAAAUCCGUUGAUCCAUUGAAGACCACCAGUGGCGAAGGCGGCUUGCCAGAACGCGCUCGACGGUGAGGGAUGAAAGCUGGGGGAGCAAACCGG